rnacentral:rRNA from 1 species
UACAGAGGUCUCAAGCGUUGUUCGGAAUUACUGGGCGUAAAGGGCGCGUAGGCGGGAUGGCAAGUCGGUCGUGAAAUACCUCGGCUCAACUGAGGAGCGUCGAUCGAAACUGCCGUUCUUGAGGGUUGCAGAGGAGACUGGAAUUCCCGGUGUAGCGGUGAAAUGUGUAGAGAUCGGGAGGAACACCGGUGGCGAAGGCGGGUCUCUGGGCAAUUCCUGACGCUGAGGCGCGAAAGCGUGGGGAGCAAACGGG